UACGUAGGGUGCAAGCGUUAAUCGGAAUUACUGGGCGUAAAGCGUGCGCAGGCGGUUAUGUAAGACAGGUGUGAAAUCCCAGGGCUCAACCUUGGAACUGCAUUUGUGACUGCAUAGCUAGAGUACGGUAGAGGGGGAUGGAAUUCCGCGUGUAGCAGUGAAAUGCGUAGAUAUGCGGAGGAACACCGAUGGCGAAGGCAAUCCCCUGGACCUGUACUGACGGCUCAUGCACGAAAGGCGUGGGGAGCAAACAGG
rnacentral:rRNA from 1 species